AGGAUCAACGCUGGCGGCGUGCCUAAUGCAUGCAAGUCGAACGUGCGGUCUUCGGGCCGAGGCGUGGCGGACGGGUGAGGAACGCGUGGGCAAUCUGCCCUACAGGUGGGGGGUAGCCUUCGGAAACGGAGGGUAAUUCCGCAUGUGCUCGACCGCCGGCGGGGUGGUUGAGGAAAGGCUUCGCGAGGAGUCGCCUGAGGAGGAGCCUGCGGCCGAUUAGCUAGUUGGAGGGUAACGGCCCACCAAGGCGAUGAUCGGUAGCUGGUCUGAGAGGACGGCCAGCCACAUGGGGACUGAGACACGGCCCCAACUCCUACGGGAGGCAGCAGCAAGGAAUUUUCCGCAAUGGGCGAAAGCCUGACGGAGCAACGCCGCGUGUGGGAUGACGCCUUUCGGGGUGUAAACCACUUUUCUUGGGGACGACGAGCGACGGUACCCGAGGAAGAAGGACCGGCUAACUACGCGCCAGCAGCCGC
rnacentral:rRNA from 1 species